GGGAUGAACCGGAAGCCGGGUUACGGUGCCCAACUGCGCGCUAACCUAGAACCCACAAAGGGUGUUGGUCGAUUAAGACAGCAGGACGGUGGUCAUGGAAGUCGAAAUCCGCUAAGGAGUGUGUAACAACUCACCUCGCGAAUCAACUAGCCCCGAAAAUGGAUGGCGCUGAAGCGCGCGACCCACACCCGGCCAUCUGGGCGAGCGCCAUGCCCCGAUGAGUAGGAGGGCGCGGC
rnacentral:ncRNA from 1 species